AAGUCGUAACAAGGUUUCCGUAGGUGAACCUGCGGAAGGAUCAUUAUUGAAAUAAACCUGAUGGGUUGCUGCUGGUUCUCCAGGGAACAUGUGCACACUUGUCAUCUUUAUAUCUUCACCUGUGCACCUUUUGUAGACCUGAAUAUCUUUCUGAGUGCGCUAGCAUUCAGGUUAGAGGAUUGACUUUUCUGUCUUUCCUUACAUUUUCAGGUCUAUGUUUCUUCAUAUACCCCAUGUAUGUUAUAGAAUGUAGUCAAUAGGUGUUUGUGCCUAUAAACUUAUACAACUUUCAGCAACGGAUCUCUUGGCUCUC
rnacentral:misc_RNA from 1 species